CCUACGGGCGGCAGCAGUGGGGAAUAUUGCACAAUGGGGGGAACCCUGAUGCAGCGACGCCGCGUGAGCGAGGAAGUAUUUCGGUAUGUAAAGCUCUAUCAGCAGGGACGAAAAAAGACGGUACCUGACUAAGAAGCCCCGGCUAACUACGUGCCAGCAGCCGCGGUAAUACGUAGGGGGCAAGCGUUAUCCGGAUUUACUGGGUGGAAAGGGAGCGUAGACGGCAAGGCAAGCCAGAAGUGAAAGGGCCGGGCUCAACCCUGUACAUGCGUGUGGAACUGUGGGGCUAGAGUGCAGGAGAGGUAAGUGGAAUUCCGAGUGUAGCGGUGAAAUGCGUAGAUAUUAGGAGGAACACCAGUGGCGAAGGCGGCUUACUGGACUGUAACUGACGUUGAGGCUCGAAAGCGUGGGGAGCAAACAGGAUUAGAUACCCGUGUAGUC
rnacentral:rRNA from 1 species